rnacentral:rRNA from 1 species
CGGCAAACGGGUGCGGAACACGUACAGAACCUUCCUUUAAGCGGGGGAUAGCCCAGAGAAAUUUGGAUUAAUACCCCAUAGUAUUAUGUUGUGGCAUCACGAUAUGAUUAAAGAUUUAUCACUUAGAGAUGGCUGUGCGUCUGAUUAGGUAGUUGGUGUGGGUAACGGCCCACCAAGCCUUCGAUCAGUAACUGGUGUGAGAGCACGACCAGUCACACGGGCACUGAGACACGGGCCCGACUCCUACGGGAGGCAGCAGUAAGGAAUAUUGGUCAAUGGAGGCAACUCUGAACCAGCCAUGCCGCGUGAAGGAUGAAGGUCCUCUGGAUUGUAAACUUCUUUUAUGUGGGAAGAAAUGCAUUCUUUAUAGAGUGUUUGACGGUACCAUAGGAAUAAGCACCGGCUAACUCCGUGCCAGCAGCCGCGGUAAUACGGAGGGUGCAAGCGUUAUCCGGAUUCACUGGGUUUAAAGGGUGCGUAGGUGGGAAUGUAAGUCAGUGGUGAAAUCUCCGUGCUUAACAUGGAAACUGCCAUUGAUACUAUAUUUCUUGAAUUUUCCGGAGGUUAGCGGAAUAUGUCAUGUAGCGGUGAAAUGCUUAGAUAUGACAUAGAACACCAAUUGCGAAGGCAGCUAACUACAGGGAUAUUGACACUGAGGCACGAAAGCGUGGGGAUCAAACAGGAUUAGAUACCCUGGUAGUCCACGCCCUAAACGAUGGAUACUCGACAUACGCGAUACACAGUGUGUGUC